GCCGUUCCAGUGAGGAGUCACUCUCAAUUGUUUCGCCUUUUUGGGAUAAUUCAGGAUCUAUGCUCUCAUCUUUGCAAGGUCUUUUCAAUGGCUUCCUUCCAAAUUUACCUGAUGCUUUCUGCAUCACACCACAAAUCUGAUUCAAAUCUUCAUCCUCAUAUUGCUUUUGCAAUUUGUCUAUAAUCUCACCUUGCCAUGGGGGAAUCUUCACUUCGUUCGUGUGAGUGAGUACAUUAACCGCAUCAGAGAUGUCACAAUGCAGUUUUGUCACUGAAUCACCUCUGCCAAGUUCUUCC
rnacentral:misc_RNA from 1 species